UACCGUGAGGGAAAGGCGAAAAGAACCCCGGCGAGGGGAGUGAAAAAGAACCUGAAACCGUGUACGUACAAGCAGUGGGAGCACAGGUUUACCUGUGUGACUGCGUACCUUUUGUAUAAUGGGUCAGCGACUUAUAUUCUGUAGCAAGGUUAACCGAAUAGGGGAGCCGGAGGGAAACCGAGUCUUAAUUGGGCGUUAAGUUGCAGGGUAUAGACCCGAAACCCGGUGAUCUAGCCAUGGGCAGGUUGAAGGUUGGGUAACACUAACUGGAGGACCGAACCGACUAAUGUUGAAAAAUUAGCGGAUGACCUGUGGCUGGGGGUGAAAGGCCAAUCAAACCGGGAGAUAGCUGGUUCUCCCCGAAAGCUAUUUAGGUAGCGCCUCGUGAAUUCAUCUCCGGGGGUAGAGCACUGUUUCGGCUAGGGGGCCAUCCCGGCUUACCAACCCGAUGCAAACUGCGAAUACCGGAGAAUGUUAUCACGGGAGACACACGGCGGGUGCUAACGUCCGUCGUGAAGAGGGAAACAACCCAGACCGCCAGCUAAGGUCCCAAAGUCAUGGUUAAGUGGGAAACGAUGUGGGAAGGCCCAGACAGCCAGGAUGUUGGCUUAGAAGCAGCCAUCAUUUAAAGAAAGCGUAAUAGCUCACUGGUCGAGUCGGCCUGCGCGGAAGAUGUAACGGGGCUAAACCAU
rnacentral:rRNA from 1 species